CCUACGGGGGGCUGCAGUGGGGAAUAUUGGACAAUGGGGGCAACCCUGAUCCAGCCAUGCCGCGUGUGUGAAGAAGGCCCUCGGGUUGUAAAGCACUUUCAGUGAGGAAGAACGCCUGGUGGUUAAUACCCAUCAGGAAAGACAUCACUCACAGAAGAAGCACCGGCUAACUCCGUGCCAACAGCCGCGGUAAUACGGAGGGUGCGAGCGUUAAUCGGAAUUACUGGGCGUAAAGCGCGCGUAGGUGGCUUGAUGCCGGUUGUGAAAGCCCCGGGCUCAACCUGGGAACGGCAUCCGGAACUGUCAAGCUAGAGUGCAGGAGAGGAAGGUAGAAUUCCCGGUGUAGCGGUGAAAUGCGUAGAGAUCGGGAGGAAUACCAGUGGCGAAGGCGGCCUUCUGGACUGACACUGACACUGAGGUGCGAAAGCGUGGGUAGCAAACAGGAUUAGAUACCCCAGUAGUC
rnacentral:rRNA from 1 species